AAACAUUUUAUUUCACCUUUUAUUUUACCAGGUAGGAAAAGUUGAGAACAAGUUCUCAUUUACAACUGCGACCUGGCCAAGAUAAAGCAAAGCAGUGCAACACGAACAAUCAUAUCAACCUGAUAUCAACCAAUGGUGGAAAAAGUACCAAGUUGUCAUACUUGAGUAAAAGUAAAGGUGUCAUAAUUGAAAAUGACUGAAGUGAAAGUUAAGCUAACCGGGCGGCACCAUUUUCUUGUUUUUAAUUUAUUUACGGAUAGCCAGGGGCACACUCCAACCCUCAGACAUAGUUUACACACAAAGCAUGUGUUUAGUGAGUAUGCCAGAUCAGAGGCAGUAGGGAUGACCAGGGAUGUUCUCUUGAUAAGUGUGAAUUGGACAAUUUUCCUGUCCUGCUAAGUAUUCAAAAUAUAACGAGUACUUUUGGGUGUCAAGGAAAAUGUAUGGAGUGAAAAAUACAUACUUUUCUUCAAGAAUGUAGUGAAGUAAAAUUAUAAAGUGGUAAAAAGUAAACUUACCCAAAGAAACUACGUAAGUAGUACUUUCAUGUAUUUACACUUAAGUCCUUUACGUUACUGAUAUCAACAACAAAUUCACCAUACAUUUAUUUUGAAAGGUGAAUACAGAAUUUUCAUACCAGCCUUUCUCACUUCCCUCCAGGAAAGAAAGCCUGCACUUUUCACCAGGAUGCCAUCUUUGAGCAGACCCAAAGAAUGUCAGGAGAGGAGUCAGGAGAGGAGUCAGGAGAGGAGUCAGGAGAGGAGUCAGGAGAGGAGUCAGGAGAGGAGUCAGCAAGUAUUACGUUUGUGACAAAUAGCUAAGUGCCUUUCAACUGCGUUUUAGGAUAGCUCCAAACAGAGAGACAGCUCCCGCACCCAGGUAACACGCACAAUCCAUACUAACUGACCAAUGACUUUUACAUGCUCUGAGUUCAAAUGACUGGGUGGGAGGUUUAUUCAAAUUCACUGUAUUUUGUAUUUUAUGAGGAUCCCCAUUAGUUGUCGCUAAGGCAGCAGCUACUCUUCCUGGGGUCUACACAAAACAUAAAACGUGACAUAAUACAGAACAUUAAAAACAAGAACAGCUCAAGGACAGAACUACAUACAUUUAAGAACCGAGUGUUAUUACCAGUAUGUGUGAUUGGCUGGAUUAUGAUAACUCAUGGGACUCAAUCACCCACUACCAAGCAGGAAGAAGGAGAGCGGUGGUAUCAUUGUCUCGGACUCAGAGCUCAUCGGCCCCCCCAGUGCCCCAACAUCUGACUGGUCAGGAGGAGGAUGCUAACUUGGUGGCCCACCACUACCACCAGGGUACAGAGAAAGCACAGCAGACGAUGAUGAGGAUAUGCAGAUGACGAAGAUGAUAAUUCAGUGAAAAAGAUUCCAAACAAUUAUGAGAUCACUCUGCAGCAUGGCUCCAAAACCAGGGACUCUUGAAUAGACUUUGUUAAACAGAGAGUCUGGGAACAUCAAACAAGUGGAGGGAAAGGAACCAUAUUUUGGUAAUAGAACCAGUUGAAAAUAUGCGUUGGUACUUAAUGAAUAUGAUGUCAGUUCGGUUGUCAUCUGAGACAUUAUGACUGAUGACAGGAUGACCUGAACUGUAUCUGGGAAAGUCUACACAUUAUAG